rfam:Picea glauca, whole genome shotgun sequence.
AGCAAAAUAAGUAGCCAACGACAACUUGCCAACUCUCUGCAUAUCAUGAUAUCUUAUACAUGUUUUUCUCACAUAUGCAGAUUAUGGGUUCGUGCUGGCAAGUCAUCCUUGGCUACAUCACUUGCUGU